UGUAUGUGCUUGGCUGAGGAGCC
rnacentral:piRNA from 4 species